CAGCUGAUAGGAUGAUACCCAUCCACACUGAAGGCAGAUUUUCCCUACUCAUUCCACUAAUUCAAAAGCCAGUUUCUUCCAGAAAGCCCUCAGAUGCACCCAGAAAUAAUGCUUUACCAGCUAUCUAAGUAUCCCUUAAUCCAGUCAAGUUAACACCCAAAAUUAACCACCAUAGACCCUAACCUAUAGCCAUUUGAAGACUAGAUCUGACUUGUAAAUUCUCAUAAGAUUCUCAAAAAAUUCAUCAGUUUUGCUUGUUACUUCAUUCAGGGCAGAUUUUUUUACUUUUUAUUUUUUCCUAAUUCACAGUUUCACUGAAGAUUUAAUUCAUUACAGGUUCCAGAACUUGCAUCUAACUCUCCCAUUGUGCAGACCUGAGUUGAUCUAUGUCACAACUGAAGCCCCAGGCCACCAGAAUUCACAGUGAAUCCAACGAAAAUAAAUCUCACAGAGGUGGUGUCAUCUGCCACUGGCAGCUCAUAAAGGAUUUUAGGAUUUGCCAUCCCAGCUGUUUCUCCCUUACAAGCUCUAUGAAAGAGCUUUUGAAGUGAAUCUUGAAAGUCACAAGGGAUUUCAACUAGCAGAAAUAGGAAAAUUCGAGAAAGUGGAAAUCAUACACACACACACACACACACAGUUUCAGAAGAGUGAGAGAGGUUGGGCGUAUGGGUAGCAAAGAUUUCUAUUUGGCUGAAGAAAAGAGAGAAGCAUGUGUUUCAAGAGAAGCAAUGCUGAAAAGAGGUUGGGGGUCAUACUGAAAAUCAAGACAAGAAAGUUAAAAUAAAUUUAGCAGGAAUUAGCA
rnacentral:lncRNA from 13 species